UGCCCAGUGGCUCUGCCCAGUUUGGACGACCCCAAUGGAGACGUUUUCCAUGAUCCUCAGUGCCAUGCCAUGUCUCCCUACAGUCAGUGGUGUGUGUGUGUGUGUGUGUGUGUGUGUGUGUGUGUGUGUGUGUGUGUGUGUGUGUGUGUGUGUGUGUGUGUGUGUGUGUGUGUCUGUGUCUGUGUGUGUGUGUGUGUGUGUGUGUCUGUGUGUGUGUCUGUGUCUGUGUGUGUGUCUGUGUGUGUGUGUGUGUGUGUGUGUGUGUGUGUGUGUGUGUGUGUGUGUGUGUGUGUGUGUGUGUGUGUGUGUCUGUGUGUGUGUGUGUGUGUGUGUCUGUGUGUGUGUCUGUGUGUGUGUCUGUGUCUGUGUGUGUGUCUGUGUGUGUGUGUGUGUGUCUGUGUGUGUGUGUGUGUGUGUCUGUGUGUGUGUCUGUGUGUGUGUGUGUGUGUGUGUGUGUGUGUCUGUGUGUGUGUGUGUGUGUGUGUGUGUGUGUGUGUGUGUCUGUGUGUGUGUGUGUGUGUGUGUGUGUGUGUGUGUGUGUGUGUCUGCUUGUAUAUAUGUACAUACCCAGGGUGGGAGGGAAAGGUUUUCUUGUUUUUAAUUCAAUGUUUUUAAUGUUGUAAAGCACUUUGUGGUGCAAUUUUAUUGUAUAAAAAGUGCUAUACAAAUAAAGUUUGAUUGAUUGAUAAAUAUGGCCUGAUACUGUGGUUCGAAGUUAGAGAGCCUUUCAGACCAAGCCGGUGUUGGAAAAGAUCCAGUGGGAGAUGGCUGCAGCCGGGGACAAGCCUCGACUAAGUCCUCAAUAAACUUACGAAAUUCAAAAAGGACUAGAUGGACCAGAAAAGAAAGCUGGGACGCAGCAGUGGUCGGCCAAAAGUGAGUCCCCAUUGAGACCUGCUCCAUUCUGUGACUCCAGCUGAGGCUCUGAACUCUGACCCAAUGAUGGGGGUCUAACUUGGCUGCUUGCCAAUAGAAAAGCAAACAGGUUCUUAGGAGGUGCGAGGUUUGAACCAACUAAGCACACGUUCCUUUGGACUUGAAAAGGUCAAGAUGGUUGUGACCUUCCAUCAGUUCCAUCCAGUGAAUGUGAGAAAUCAGCAACAUCUGGAAGCAGUUUCAUUACAUGUGGUGUAAAUGUCCAAAUGGACUUGAGAAUGAACUGAAUAGAAUUUGGUGGUUGAAGUUCGACUUAAUUUUUCUGUUCAUUCAAUGCUGUAAUUCACAAAUAAGGAGCUAACCAUUCUUGUCACUGUCGA
ensembl:lncRNA